GUCCAGCUGUGCAGGAAUUUCCUGUCCAGGACCAUCAUCAGCCAGCAGGGCUGGCCGCCAGCAUCGCACCCCCCUCCUUGAGCUCAGCCCUGCUGAUCCCGAGGUGAGUGAGACCAGGCGGUGCUUGUCCUCUGGGACCACUGAGCCCUGUCCCCAGCCCUUCUUUGUGUUUUAUUUAGAGACAGGAUCUGAGCUGCUUCGGGCCUCACUAAUAGAGUGAAGGGAAACAAACCCCUUUCCUUCCUCCUUCCUCCAUGUAAACGACAGGACUCCCUUCCUUUGAAGGUGGACCCUCGUGAGAGCAGCGGCACCUGGAUCAACCAGGAUCAUCUCCCACCUCAAGGUCAUCGGCUUGACCACACCUGCAAAGUCCCUUUUGUCACAUGAGGUGCAGUUGGCCCUGCCUAUUCCUACCUGCAGUUCCUCAUCUCCAGAUGCAACCGUCUCCAGAUGAAGAAUAUUGGAAAAACAAAAGCAAAACAGCUUGGCCAUCCUCUUUUUAUUUUCUUGUCAUUAUCCCUAAGUAAUACAGUAUGACAACUGCUUACACAGCAUUAAACGUUAGAUAUGAGCAA